rnacentral:rRNA from 1 species
UACGUAGGGUGCAAGCGUUGUCCGGAAUUAUUGGGCGUAAAGAGCUCGUAGGCGGCCUGUCGCGUCGGCUGUGAAAACCCGGGGCUCAACCCCGGGCCUGCAGUCGAUACGGGCAGGCUAGAGUCCGGCAGGGGAGACUGGAAUUCCUGGUGUAGCGGUGAAAUGCGCAGAUAUCAGGAGGAACACCAGUAGCGAAGGCGGCACUCUGGGCCGGUACUGACGCUGAGGAGCGAAAGGCGUGGGGAGCGAACAGG